GAAAGGAGGGCUAAUACCGCAUGAUAUCUCGAGAUCUUCGGCUCUCGAGAUCAAAGCUAGCCUCUACAUGUAAGCUAGCGCCAUGGGAGGGGCUCGCGGCCCAUUAGCUUGUUGGUGAGGUAACGGCUCACCAAGGCUACGAUGGGUAGCCGGCCUGAGAGGGUGAUCGGCCACACUGGAACUGAGACACGGUCCAGACUCCUACGGGAGGCAGCAGUGAGGAAUUUUGCGCAAUGGGGGAAACCCUGACGCAGCGACGCCGCGUGGAGGACGAAGGCCUUCGGGUCGUAAACUCCUGUCGAGUGGGACGAAUCCCGGAGAGAUGAAUAAGCUUUCCGGUUGACGGUACCACUGGAGGAAGCCCCGGCUAACUCCGUGCCAGCAGCCGCGGUAAUACGGAGGGGGCCAGCGUUGUUCGGAAUUAUUGGGCGUAAAGGGCGCGUANGCGGCCUGGCAAGUCAGACGUGAAUCCCUCGGCUCAACCGAGGAACUGCGUUUUGAACUGCCGGGCUUGA
rnacentral:rRNA from 1 species